UUUUUUUUUUUUUUUUUUUUGAGGGGGGAAAAUCAUCCAAUGACUUUUCUCGCCUUGGGCGAGGCGAGAGGGAGUGUCAGACUCUUACUGACUAAAAACCACCCCGUUCCUUCUCCUGCUUUUCGAGCCGGAGCCCCGGUAAACCCGCUAGGUAGUCCGCAGCUCCGGAUCAGGCAUCAGCCCUACUGGGCCCCAUUUGUGGUGGUCUGAUGGCUCUUU